GGUCAGUGUACAUAGUGGGUGAAACAGUAUGUAAACAUUAAGGUGACCAAUGUUCAAUGACUAAGUGCAUAGGGCAGCAGUCUCUAAGGUGCAGGGUAGAGUAGCGGGUGGUAGCCGGCUAGAACAGUGACUAAGGUUCAGGGCAGGGUACUGGGCUGAGUCCGGCUAGAACAGUGACUAAGGUUCAGGGCAGGGUACUGGGCUGAGGCCGGCUAGAACAGUGACUAAGGUUCAGGGCAGGGUACUGGGCUGAGUCCGGCUAGAACAGUGACUAAGGUUCAGGGCAGGGUACUGGGCUGAGGCCGGCUAGAACAGUGACUAAGGUUCAGGGCAGGGUACUGGGCGGAGUCCGGCUAGAACAGUGACUAAGGUUCAGGGCAGGGUACUGGGCUGAGGUCGGCUAGAACAGUGACUAAGGUUCAGGGCAGGGUACUGAGCUGAGUCCGGCUAGAACAGUGGCUAAGGUUCAGGGCAGGGUACUGAGUGGAGGUCGGCUAGAACAGUGACUAAGGUUCAGGGCAGGGUACUGGGCUGAGGCCGGCUAGAACAGUGACUAAGGUUCAGGGCAGGGUACUGGGCUGAGUCCGGCUAGAACAGUGACUAAGGUUCAGGGCAGGGUACUGGGCUGAGGCCGGCUAGAACAGUGACUAAGGUUCAGGGCAGGGUACUGGGCUGAGGCCGGCUAGAACAGUGACUAAGGUUCAGGGCAGGGUACUGGGCUGAGGCCGGCUAGAACAGUGACUAAGGUUCAGGGCAGGGUACUGGGCUGAGGCCGGCUAGAACAGUGACUAAGGUUCAGGGCAGGGUACUGGGCUGAGGCCGGCUAGAACAGUGACUAAGGUUCAGGGCAGGGUACUGGGCUGAGGCCGGCUAGAACAGUGACUAAGGUUCAGGGCAGGGUACUGGGCUGAGGCCGGCUAGAACAGUGACUAAGGUUCAGGGCAGGGUACAGGGCUGAGGCCGGCUAGAACAGUGACUAAGGUUCAGGGCAGGGUACUGAGCUGAGUCCGGCUAGUGGUGACAUAACAGUCUGAUGGCCUGGAAAUCGGUCCCAGCUUUAAUGCACCGGAGGUCCUUGAUGAUCUUCUUGGCCUUCCUGUGACAUCGGGUGCUGUAGAUAUCCUGGAGGGCAGGCAGUGUGCCCCUGAUGACGCAUUGGGCUGACCACACCACCCUCUGGAAAU